AUACAGUAUUAUAAAACAUAUCACAGGGACCCCAAAACAUGCAAUAACCCCAUAAAAAAAUAUCCUUGGAACCGGGGGAUCUGGGUGAACCACAUAUCCAAAAUUCACGCAGAUCCGUUCAGUAGUUUAGAAGAUACGGUUUAAUGCAGAUUCCGCAGAACAUAUACAGGCUAUAUGAAAAAUAAUUACUGUUAAAUGUGUCCCCUGUUCUGUAGUUUAAAACUACUGCAUGAUGUCUUUGUGCACCAAAUACCAGCGGGAUGGAAAAAGUCAAAAAGUCAAAACAGUGUCUGUAAGUUAAAAUUGCCGCCAUCCAUUGUUCUCACCAUGUGCUUCAUCCAUUGUUCUCACCAUGUGCCUCUGAUACAUGAAAUGGUGGCCACCCAGUAACUCCACAGUAUGUCCCCAGAUGGUUCUUAAAGGGCCAGCAGCAGCACAACACAAAUCCAUUAUGCCCAAAUCAUGUAUUUAAAGGGCAAUACAUCCCAGGGGGUCAUAGUCACAUGGCAGGAGGCUGGCAAUCAGUCUUCUCCAAUGCCCAGUGGCGAGGUCGGUUUCAC